AGGAGGAACAACCCCAGUGGCGGGGCCAGCUCUGGAGCCCUGGAUUCAGCCCCCGCAGGAACUCCGGAGCUCUCCGUCAGCAGGGCCUGGAGGCUCCGGGCGGGG
rnacentral:pre_miRNA from 1 species